GGUGGCCUUGCUGGUGAUUCCUCUGUACUUGGGGCCUUCUGAAGCUGUGCCAUCUUAUGUCUGCAAGCUAAAAAUAUCCCACUCACAACCAACCUGCCCCCUAAUGGGACUGACGGGUGCUCGCUACCUGUGGCAGGUUAACCGAGAGCGUGCUGGUGGAUGGAUGGUGCUGGGCUCUCCUGCAGUGCAGGGCUUUGAUUUAUUGGUGUUUCCUGACCCUGACAGCUGCCGGUGUUUUGUGCACAGCAGUCCUUGGAUCAUCGCAGAGAGCAAAAGGCAUUGCACAAAGAUUUCCAUUUUGCCGAAGGAGGGUGAUUUGAGUAAAUAGCUUGCCCCUGAUCCUCAAAGUUUCGGCGCAGCAUCCCUGCAUCCCACCACAGUCGGUCCAUAGCACUUUUGUGCUGGAAGAGAUUCCUCUGAAGCUGUGUAGGGUGGAGGAGAAAUCCUGGGGAAUGAAUGUACCCCCCCUUAACUGGACCUGCUCCACCUGCAGAGGGCCUAGGGACACCAGGCUGUAUUUAGGGAUGCCCGCAUGGGCAAGAUGAAUCUAUCCCAUGGAGAGCACUGGCAGCCACCCACCAGGAGCAAUCCUGAAAAAUAGGAGAUUACAAAAUCCACGCUGCCGGACAGAGGAGCUGUCUGCAGGCACCAGGAAAAGCAGAAUUACUCAUUGUAAUGAUGGUCUGGCACUAGCUUCCUUGUCAUGGUCUCGCACUUAAUACAGUAACAACUACUGACAACAAGAGAAUGGUCCAAGCUCAGAAAAUACUGUAUUUUGCCUGACUUCUACUUCAUUAGCAGGUAAAUGAAGUAAAUUGCCCAGAGGUUCCCUCUGCCUCAGUUUUGGCCACCUCUGCCUGGGUGAGUGACCUCCCAGACCCCAGGAGGACCACAAGGCUGGGGCUGUGGGUUAAGGUACAGACCCAGCAUGUCACAAAGCUGUUGUCACACAUUUCUCCCGAGGAGAGCUCAUCAGGUUCAGAGAGUGAUGGCUCCAUAAGUGGUGUUGUGAACAGAAGUGCUUUGGUUCCAGGCACCGUCAUUUAGACAAUUUAGUUGUCACUGAAGAGAAAGAGGUGACUUGCAUACAAUGAAUGAGCAUCUGCAAAGGUGAAAAUAGCAGGAUCUGGGAAGCUUUUUCAUCCUGUAGAGGGGAGGCACAGUGAGAAGCCAAAUGCCUGGAAGAUAAGCCUUGAGGCAGAGCUUGAAGGCAUUACUACCAGUGGCUCACUGUGACAAUACAGAGACCUGCUGACCCCAUAUAGCCUCAGGAGCUGUGCAGGGAUGCAUGAGGACCUGCUGAUUUGCUGUUGCCCAAUGGAAUCUAGCUGUGCUUCUGGCCAUGCAUGAAGGCUUUGUCCCAGGGACAAGCUCCACUCCCUGCCCUGUACUCAUUACUAUGUGAAUUAAAAGAACUGAUGAUCCCUUGUAAAUGUGUAACAUCUGGGAGUACCUCUGUGGGAUGAACGUUUUGCCAGCCUUGAGGUGAGUUAUCCGAAAACUCUUGCCAGUAGCAACAAACCUGGCACCUGCUGUGAGCACAUCUGGUCCCAAGCAUCACAGCAGAGCACAGUAAGAAAAACCCCAAGAUCCAGUCUGCCACUGCCACCCAUGUCCAGUCAUCAGCCCAGCCCCUGAGAUGGACACUGGUGUUUGAGAUGGGUGGAUAUACCUUGUUUGUGCAGGAAAGGCUGGAAACUGAAAUGGAUGGGAUUGAGUGCCUUGGCUUGUUUUUCUGCUCUGUUUUGCUUUGGCUUGCUGAACAACCCCAUCUGGCUUUUCUGAACAGCAGUGUUACUCACCUUGCACUUUAUGCUUUCCUGGGGAUCAGUAAUAAACAUCCCUUCAGUCGAUAAUGAAACAGGAAGGAAAAUUAGCAGCACUUCUACCACAAGCUCAAAGCCAGUCAAUCUCAGAGAAACGCCAUGGCUCUAACAUAGUGGUCAGAUACCUGCUGGGACUGGUCCCCACCUCUUCAGCCUUAUCCCUGCCUGUUUUUCCAACAAGUGAUAUUUCUCCCUAAAUUCAAGACAUUCCUGGGAGCAGACUGCCCCUCCAUCUAUUUCUACAUUUAAAGUGAUAUUUGUUGGAGCUUUUAAAUCCUCCAUAUAGCUGUUUUGAGGUGAGAAGUUAGUUUAGAGCAGGGGAAAGCUCAGGGAGGUGGAGGGAGCUGAGGCAAGGCAGACCCUGCUGGCUUUGGGAUGACUGCUUCAGGGACACGAUUGCAACCCACAAAUAUUGAACCACAUUGGUGCCAAGGAAGGAAAUAUUUAUAGUGGAAGAGGUAGGGGGGUAAAAACAGAGAUGGGAUGAUCCAGGCUGAGCACCAAGGAAAAGUAUCUGCCUGUGAAACUGGCCUCCUGAGUGCAGGCAAGGUGGAAGCUCCAUCAUUUGGGGAUGCUCAGAAUUACACUGAACAAGGUCUGAGUGAAUUCCCUCCAGGGAGCAAUCAUGCACCAGCUGAGACAGAUCUCUCCUGCCUCCCCACCCCUGCCUUUCACAACAUUUUCUUGUAGAACUGUGAGUAUCACUAAGGAAAUUAUUAGACCCACUUCCCCAGCGGCUGCGUGCUGCCUCCCUUCCAUUGCAGCUGCAAUGGCUCUGCCAGAUUGGUUUUCCCAGGGCUAUCUGAACUCUGUGUGAAGGGAAGAGGGAUGCUCAGCCCCUGCAUUGCAGCAGGUUCUAUGGCCACCGUGCUGCCAUUGACUGCAACCAGCCCCAACACCAGGUGUCUGAGGACAAGUGAAGCAGUUUGGCAUCACCCUUCCUCUGGCACCAUGGGUGUUAUCAAGGGGAUGGAUAACAAAAGAGAAAGAGAGCAAAGGAGAGCCAGAGCUCCUGGAGCAAGAUGCCUGUUGGGAGCUGGAACAUAAUCCAAAGCCUUUCCCAGAACGGUUCAAGGAUUAAAGCAUCCAUCUGGAGGUGGGCAGCAUGAAGGCUGGCAGUGGUAGGGCACCACCAGAUGUGAAAAAUCUUUGUGGAAAGAAAGCCUCAGUGCCCAGAGAGAGCUGAGCUCUUGACUGAUUUGUCUGCAGCAAGCAGUGAAGGAAAAGGUGCCCUUUGCUUUCACUGCCAUCUUUCCUUAAGGAAGAGCAGCAGAAGGGAAGAAGGCUUCACAGCAAUGCUGCUGAAAUGGGCAGAGGUCACACUGCUCCCACACUGCCCUGGGGUCAAAGUUUCCCUCUUCCCAUGCUCCCUAGGGGUUGCUACAGGGUGUCUGGUGUCAAGGACAACAUCUGGUGUGUGGCUUUGGGAAAGGUCACUGUCCUUAUCCCUGUCACAUAGAGGAGGGAUGGACUCACCCGGCUCUUCUCGAGCAGAAACACAAAUCCAGGCUUUCCAGCCCUGAGCAACAAACUGCAGAUCCACCGGCCCGCUCUGUUGGCCAGCUCCCGUGGUUUUGUUUGCUCUUGCUUUCAGAGACACCAAAUUAUCCCUACUUACAACUCAGAUUAGAGGAAGUAUGGUUUCUUCAGCCAUCACCACGGGAAAAAUCAGCUGGAAAGGACAAAGUGCCAUCAGUAACAUCCAGGGCUUCGGACUGAUUUUUCUCUCUGUGUUCUGGAAUAGUUGGACUUCAGGGUGAGACCAAGUGAAGAGAAAUCUUCAUCCCAGAAAAGCAAUUGUUUUCUUUAAAAAGGUAUGAAGCUGUUGGGAGAGUGACUUAAAUUUGAAGUGACCAUUUAGCCAUAACUGCGACUUUGCCAGGAAUUUGCUGUAAUGUGGAAUGACUCAGAAAUAUAAAAACUAAGGGGAAAACCUCUUCCUUUGUUCAAGGGAGAAAAAGAGAUGCAUCCUUCUCUAAAAUAGAGCUGAAAGCUCUGCAGUAUUGGAUCGUAUUCAGAAUAAAAACUGCAGAGAAAAUAAUCCUGAGGAUCUGGUCCCAGCCCUAGCACUGCCACCCUAUGAAUGGAUCCUGUUAUUCAGAACAGAGGGCUGUAAAAUGCAGCAUGUAAAUCAAUACAACAGACAAAUCUUCAGACAAAUCAGGUCUGAAGAUCGCCUGCAUGCUGUUAUUUUCCUGCACUGAUGGAUGUUCCAAGCUGCCACGUUUCCAGUCAGGCAGAAGGAAUGCCUGUGGCAAAGGGAGCAGGUAUGUGGCUGGUGGAGUCCUGUGCAAGGAGGGCAGAGAGGUAAACCUCCAGUCCAAAUGGGGCAUAUGGAGCCAGUGGGAUGCUGUCAGCCCGAAGUGCAUCUCCCAGCUGCUUUCCUAUCAGUUCCUUCCUUCUUUCUCCUUGAGUUCAACAUGCCAGACACUGUGGCCACGUCCUCUCCGAGCAGCCAGGGCUCUGUGCCCUUCUCCGUCAGCUUAACAUCAUCCCCAACAUCUAAACCAGAGCCUGGGUACAGCCUGGCACACGUGGCCCUCUGAGCCCAGCUCUCUCAUGAAGAUAAACGAUCCCAUUUGAUGUGAUGACAGGGAACAGCAGCUGGGGCAGCCUCUGUUGGUACAGAGAAUGAGACAUGAUCAGUACCUGUGGGCAAGGAAGGGGACAGUUUGCCCAGCUAAUUAGCCUUGGGUGCUAAUGACACUUAGAACAGAAGACCCCGACAUGCCGAGGUGAUGUCU